GUGGGGAAUUUUGGACAAUGGGCGCAAGCCUGAUCCAGCCAUGCCGCGUGCAGGAUGAAGGCCUUCGGGUUGUAAACUGCUUUUGUACGGAACGAAACGGCUCUUUCUAAUAAAGAGGGCUAAUGACGGUACCGUAAGAAUAAGCACCGGCUAACUACGUGCCAGCAGCCGCGGUAAUACGUAGGGUGCAAGCGUUAAUCGGAAUUACUGGGCGUAAAGCGUGCGCAGGCGGUGAUGUAAGACAGUUGUGAAAUCCCCGGGCUCAACCUGGGAACUGCAUCUGUGACUGCAUCGCUGGAGUGCGGCAGAGGGGGAUGGAAUUCCGCGUGUAGCAGUGAAAUGCGUAGAUAUGCGGAGGAACACCGAUGGCGAAGGCAAUCCCCUGGGCCUGCACUGACGCUCAUGCACGAAAGCGUGGGGAGCAAACAGGAUUAGAAACCCCGGUAGUCC
rnacentral:rRNA from 1 species